rnacentral:SRP_RNA from 11 species
GGUCCGGGUACUGGUGGUGGAUGGGACUACCACGGUAAUGCCGCUGGAGGUCGAGUGCGGCAGUGUGGUGUGGGGCGUCAACACGCGGCUGGCGCUGGAGGUAGUGGAUAGCCAGGUUGUGAAAUGGCGUGUGUGCGAGG